UAUACUAAAGUUAUGGUGCGAAAACCAAGAAUAAUGCUUAUUUGGGCCCCUUUUUAGCCCCUAAUUCCUGAACUGUUGGGACCAAAACUCCCAAAAUCAAUCCCAACCUACCUUUUGUGUUCAUAAACCUUGUGUUUAAAUUUCAUUGAUUUCUAUUUACUUAUACUAAAGUUAUUGUACGAAAACCAAGAAUAAUGCUUAUUUGGGCCCUUUUUUUGGCCCCUAAUUCCUAAACUGUUAGUACCAAAACUCCCAAAAUCAAUCCCAACCUUCCUUUUGUGGUCAUAAACCUUGUGUCAAAAUUUCAUAGAUUUCAAUUUACUUAAACUAAAGUUAUAGUGCGAAAACCAAGAAAAUGCUUAUUUGGGCCCUUUUUUGCCCCUAAUUCCUAAAAUGUUGGGACCAAAACUCCCAAAAUCAAUC
rnacentral:lncRNA from 1 species